rnacentral:rRNA from 1 species
UGGGGAAUCUUCCGCAAUGGACGAAAGUCUGACGGAGCGACGCCGCGUGAGUGAUGAAGGCCCUUGGGUCGUAAAGCUCUGUCAUUGGGGACGAACGAUUACGUCAGGAAAUGGGCGUGAAGUGACGGUACCCAAGAAGGAAGCCACGGCUAACUACGUGCCAGCAGCCGCGGUAAUACGUAGGUGGCAAGCGUUGUCCGGAAUUAUUGGGCGUAAAGCGCGCGCAGGUGGGGUCUUAAGUCCAUUUUGAAAGUUCGGAGCUCAACUCCGUGAGGGGAUGGAAACUGGGAUUCUUGAGUAUCGGAGAGGAAAGCGGAAUUCCCCGUGUAGCGGUGAAAUGCGUAGAUAUGGGGAGGAACACCAGUGGCGAAGGCGGCUUUCUGGACGAUGUCUGACACUGAGGCGCGAAAGCCAGGGGAGCGAACG